rnacentral:misc_RNA from 1 species
GCAAACUUGGUCAUUUAGAGGAAGUAAAAGUCGUAACAAGGUUUCCGUAGGUGAACCUGCGGAAGGAUCAUUACCGAACCGUCGACAGGUGCUGUUGCUGGCUCUCUAACGGGGGCAUGUGCACGCCCUGUUUACACAUCCACUCACACCUGUGCACCCUCUGUAGUUCUAUGGUCUGGGGGACCCAGUCCUCCUUCCGUAGCUCUACGUCUUUACACACUCACUGUAACGAUGUCUCAUGGAAUGUUUUUCGCGUUUAACGCAAUACAAUACAACUUUCAGCAACGGAUCUCUUGGCUCUCGCAUCGAUGAAGAACGCAGC